GCGCUGCUAGCUCAGUUGGUAGAGCACCUGACUCUUAAUCAGGUUGUCCAGGGUUCGAGACCCUGGCAGCGCA
rfam:Butyrivibrio fibrisolvens DSM 3071 genome assembly, contig: EJ22DRAFT_scaffold00019.19